rnacentral:rRNA from 1 species
UACGUAGGGUGCGAGCGUUAAUCGGAAUUACUGGGCGUAAAGCGUGCGCAGGCGGUUCGUGAUGUCUGGUGUGAAAGCCCCGGGCUUAACCUGGGAAUUGCAUUGGAAACUAGCGGGCUGGAGUGUGGCAGAGGGGGGUGGAAUUCCACGUGUAGCAGUGAAAUGCGUAGAGAUGUGGAGGAACACCGAUGGCGAAGGCAGCCCCCUGGGCCGGUAUUGACGCUGAGGAGCGAAAGCCAGGGGAGCAAACGGG